UACGUAGGGGGCAAGCGUUGUCCGGAUUUACUGGGCGUAAAGAGCGUGUAGGCGGCCAAACAGGUCCGUUGUGAAAACUCGAGGCUCAACCUCGAGACGCCGAUGGAAACCGUCUGGCUAGAGUCCGGAAGAGGAGAGUGGAAUUCCUGGUGUAGCGGUGAAAUGCGCAGAUAUCAGGAAGAACACCCGUGGCUAAGGCGGCUCUCUAGUACGGUACUGACGCUGAGACGCGAAAGCGUGGGGAGCGAACAGG
rnacentral:rRNA from 1 species